CGUUCCCCCCGGGUUCUUGAGCGAGCGCGCCGGGCCGCCGAGCCGGGCUGAGACGCGGGAGCCGGGGCUGCGCGGCGGGCUGCGGAGCCCUGGAGAGUCAUUGAAGAAGGAAAAGAGGAAGCACACUGGAUGAGUUAAGUAGAACUGAGCGCAUGGAAGGCCACAUUAGGAAGUAGGAAUUGUUGAGCAGCGGGCAAGAGAAGCAUGCUAUGUUUCAGCAGAAGCAGGAGAGUUUUUCUGUUCUGUGGAAGGAGUCUAAUGGAGCACCAGUCCAGAGGGAAGAGCUGAGCCAGCAGCCUGUGGUCUGAGGGAGGUUGCCUGGGAACUGCUGACAGUGAGGUGUGUCAAAAUCAAAACAAGAUGUGGGAUGCCAGUACUGUUCAUGCAGCUGCCUGCACCCUAGGGUUCCAGGAGUCCCUGGAGUACAGAAGGAUGCAGAAUCUGGGCAUUGGACCCUGUGCUGACAAGGAGCCUCCCAUUCUUGGAGCACCACAAUAUACAUGCAAAUGAGAAGUUGGGAGGCUACCUGGAUAGGAAGGAGCAAGGUAGAAGGAGGAAGCAGCAUCCUUUUCCGGAGAGGCAGCUUGUACUCUUUCAUUUCCAUGACUAGCCAAGUAAACGUCUUCAAGUCUCCUUCAUUAGAAUGACUUAAUCCUUCAAAUAGUUAAAACAAAAAGGAUGUGAGGAAGAUACACAACCUUCCAGAGACACCAAAGCUGUACUUUUGGACCUUGACUCACAUGUCUGAAGCCAUGGAGUGCUCACAGUUUAGAAGUUGGAAGUUUGUUUUCUGUGUUCAAGGGUUGUUAUAAGGGAGAUAGGGAUUGAUAUACUGAACAAAAUUGAAUCUUAUUCUUCCAUAUUUGCUAACAUAUGUUUUUAAAGAACAGAUAUUACUCACAUUUUCCAGAUAAUGGGAAGACAUUUUUAGUCAGAAGGAAGCAUAAUACUUCAGAUAGUUUAGGUCAGUGGUUCCCUGCUAAAAAGGUGUAGCAGAAACUUUAAUUGCCAGUAUACAUACUAACAAUUUCCCAUCUUUUGAACAAGAGUUACAGAAUCAAUGAGGGGAAAUGAAAUUCAGGUAUGUAGUUAGAAGACACCAACUAAAUAAUCUUAUCUUUUCUCAACCCUCUAGAUUUGAAAAUUAUGGUUCCAGUUGAAGUACUGGUCAACAGCAAAAAAAUCCUAAAUCAUUAAAAACAACUAUUUAACACAGAACCUCACCUAGAGGGGCAAAGUUAUCCAGCAUCCAUUUGACUAAAUCGAUUUUUGCUUUCAUAUGAAUUUUUGUUGUGCCUGUGUCUUGCUGAAACACCUGUACAUAUAGACUAUGUAGUAUACAAGUAUGUGAUACUUGUUAAAUGCUCUUGCAUUUUUGAGCUCUUGAUCUAUGAUCUUAGUCUUUCGUGUUUUAGGGAUUUCUUUUUUUCAUGUUUAUUUGUAAAGUGUUGUGUAAAAGGCUAGAGUAGUUCUAAAGUUUGAUUACUCCAAAUAAGAUUGUUAUUGGAAGUUUUUUGCGUAGUAUAUACCAAGCAAUUACCGUCUAUCAUUUUUAAUUUAAGGUUAUUACUCAAAAGUUGACUGAUUCUAAGGCAACUAGGAGACCCUUCACUUUGAGAAAAAUUUGAGUGAAAAUACUUUCUUUUUGUAAACAGCUCCUGAUGUACAAUAUCCUCUGGGUGCCAGUUCUGGAAUUUAUGUUUUAAUUAAAGAGCACCCUGCCUCUUUAUUUGUGGGCCACUUAAAUAAGUGGGUGUCUUGGUGAGAAGUUCAGGAGGUUGGUGGUUGUAGCUGAGUUUAGGAUUGACUCAGCUCUGGGCAGCAGUGGUAUAUGAAUGCCAAGUGCUAAGAAUGUUUGGAAUGUAGACUUGCCAGCACUGAUAGAGUUUGCUUUGUUCCCCUGUGUGACUUGACCCAUUGAGAAAUUGUGGUUCCCUAGGAAGUUUUAAUAGUUCAAAAUGUUUAGUUAAUAAAGAAAAUGGCCACAACAUUAUUCAGCUUGUUUUCACCUGCUGCCUCAAAGAUUAACUUUCUUAGCCAUAAUGGGAUAGAACUACCCCUUGCUUUGAAAAAGAAAUUUAUGGAGCUCAUCACAUUUGUUAGUUUCCACAAACAUGAAGCUCUCUGUGGGGAUUUUUUUUUUAUCAUAAAAUCCCUAAGGCGUUGACAACUUAACAUUGUGGUAACUUCAUCUAAAACCAAAUCUCAGGGAAAGGCACACCUACUUUUCUGUAUCAGCUUCAUCUUUCACUAGACUCAGAAGGGUUUUGAAUUACUUCAGGAAAAGUAGUGACUGAUAGAGCUUAACCUUCCGUUUUCCUCAUUUAUUUUCAUUAGAGAAUGGGAGUGGAAUUCAGAACAUUCAGAUGUGGAGUUAAUGUGCGUCACUGCUGCCAGCCCCUGCUGCCAGCGAUAGGUUCUGUGUUUUUCCAGUGGGAAACUCUGAUCCACAGAGAUGCUUGCAGACCUGCACCUCCUUGCUCUUUUCUGCUUUUCUCCUGAUUGUUGUUUACUCUUUGAAACAUCAGCUGACUGUACAGAGCCUCUGUGGAAGCAGAUUUCAGAACAAAGGUGAUCUGUAAAAGCAGCACGUAAGUCUUGUUUCUGUCUGUCUGUUUCCCUACUUUGGUGCUUAGUGUUGAAUGUUGAAUGCUCUGUACAUAAUUAAAGCAUUUUCCUGGUUACAUUUUCUCAAAGAA